UACGUAGGGGGCAAGCGUUGUCCGGAUUUAUUGGGCGUAAAGAGCGUGUAGGCGGCCUGGUAGGUCAGCUGUGAAAACUCGAGGCUCAACCUCGAGACGCCGGUUGAAACCAUCAGGCUAGAGUCCGGAAGAGGAGAGUGGAAUUCCAGGUGUAGCGGUGAAAUGCGUAGAUAUCUGGAGGAACACCGGUGGCGAAGGCGGCAUCCUGGACCGGCAUUGACGCUGAGGCGCGAAAGCCAGGGGAGCAAACGGG
rnacentral:rRNA from 1 species